CGGAGGAAAAGAAACCAACCGGGAUUGCCUUAGUAACGGCGAGUGAAGCGGCAAAAGCUCAAAUUUGAAAUCUGGUACCUUCGGUGCCCGAGUUGUAAUUUGGAGAGGGCAACUUUGGGGCCGUUCCUUGUCUAUGUUCCUUGGAACAGGACGUCAUAGAGGGUGAGAAUCCCGUGUGGCGAGGAGUGCGGUUCUUUGUAAAGUGCCUUCGAAGAGUCGAGUUGUUUGGGAAUGCAGCUCUAAGUGGGUGGUAAAUUCCAUCUAAAGCUAAAUAUUGGCGAGAGACCGAUAGCGAACAAGUACAGUGAUGGAAAGAUGAAAAGAACUUUGAAAAGAGAGUGAAAAAGUACGUGAAAUUGUUGAAAGGGAAGGGCAUUUGAUCAGACAUGGUGUUUUGUGCCCUCUGCUCCUUGUGGGUAGGGGAAUCUCGCAUUUCACUGGGCCAGCAUCAGUUUUGGUGGCAGGAUAAAUCCAUAGGAAUGUAGCUUGCCUCGGUAAGUAUUAUAGCCUGUGGGAAUACUGCCAGCUGGGACUGAGGACUGCGACGUAAGUCAAGGAUGCUGGCAUAAUGGUUAUAUGCCGCCCGUCUUGAA
rnacentral:rRNA from 1 species